CUGCUUACCUGGCCAAUUGUUUGAUUAUCUCUUAUGAAGAGCUCAAGUUGCAAACACUAAGACCUGAUUAACCAAUAUUAAGUCAAUAGGUCUUCAACUGUAGUAGAGCUGCUAAGGUCUUUCUGAUGUUGAUUUGUCUCGGCUGGAUACAGUGGGCAAGUUGCAUCGGGGGGCUGGACCUCUCUAUAGACAUGAGAUGUUGUAGGGUAAAGGUGGGGUUGGGCACCAAUAACUGUUAGGUGAGGACCCAAUGACGACUUUAUUUCUACGGUUAUACGGUGGGUCUGACUUAACUAAGAAAUGAGACCAAUAACUGUUAGGUGAGGUCUUCAUGGCUUAGAGACCAAGUUGCACUGCAACAUGCUUGAGAAGCAUUGUACAAGAGUUAUACACUCAUCCAUCUAUGUGUCAUCAAUAACUGUUAGGUGAGGUGCCAUGUAGAUUGGUGAGACCGCAGUACCUACUAGAAAUCCUAAUCG
rnacentral:lncRNA from 1 species